UACAGAGGGGGGCAAGCGUUAUUCGGAAUUACUGGGCGUAAAGCGUGCGUAGGCGGUUCGUUAAGUCUGUUGUGAAAGCCCCGGGCUCAACCUGGGAAUGGCAAUGGAUACUGGCGAGCUAGAGUGUGUCAGAGGAUGGUGGAAUUCCCGGUGUAGCGGUGAAAUGCGUAGAGAUCGGGAGGAACAUCAGUGGCGAAGGCGGCCAUCUGGGACAACACUGACGCUGAGGCACGAAAGCGUGGGGAGCAAACAGG
rnacentral:rRNA from 1 species